CGCAGGCGCGGGGGCCAACGCUCGGACGCCUGGGCGGGGGAGGGCUUGGCCCGCCAGCCUCCAGGCGUCGGGCCUGGGAGCAGGUGGGCGGGGGAAUGUGGUGCGAGCUGCACUCGCGCACGUGACAUCCGCAGGGGCAGGCCCCGCCACGGCGCAGCAUCUAUUCAGAACUUCCUGACUCUGGCACCUGCGAGGACGCCUGGGCCACAGCUGGGCAGACAGUCACCCCGAGGAGCCCAGUGGGAAGUUGGAGACUGAGGCAGAAAUGUCUUUCCUCCAGGAUCCGAGCUUCUUCACCAUGGGGAUGUGGUCCAUUGGCGCCGGGGCCCUGGGGGCGGCUGCCUUGGCACUGUUCCUGGCCAACACGGACGUGUUUCUGCCCAAGUCCCGGAGAGCGACGCUGGAGUAUCUGGAGGACAUAGACCUGAAAACGCUGGAGAAGGAACCAAGGACUUUCAAAGCAAAGGAGCUCUGGGAAAAGAACGGAGCGGUGAUUAUGGCUGUACGCAGGCCAGGCUGCUUCCUCUGUCGAGAGGAGGCUGCUGACCUGUCCUCCCUGAAGCCCAAGUUGGACGAGCUGGGAGUCCCCCUGUACGCAGUGGUGAAGGAGCAGAUCAGGACUGAAGUGAAGGACUUCCAGCCUUACUUCAAAGGAGAAAUCUUCCUGGACGAAAAGAAAAAGUUCUACGGUCCCCAAAAGCGGAAGAUGGUGUUCAUGGGAUUUGUCCGUCUGGGUGUCUGGUACAACUUCUUCCGGGCCUGGAAUGGAGGCUUCUCUGGAAACCUGGAAGGCGAAGGCUUCAUCCUUGGGGGAGUUUUUGUGGUGGGGCCAGGAAAGCAGACAGGCUGCCUGGGCCCUGGCUCCGAGGAUCCAGAGGCAGCACGGGGACCCUGUGCACCCAGGAGGCAGGUGGUUGGGUGCUCCGCAGAGACUACGGGCAGCCUCGAGCUCUGGUGACCCCCUGUGCUGGGAGGCAGUGCCAGCUGGUGCCUGCCAGAUGCAGAGCAGGGGUGGGGUGAGGGCCUCCUUCUUGAGCACCGAGAAAAAGAAUUCGGAGACAAAGUAAACCUGGCUUCUGUUCUGGAAGCUGCUAGGAAGAUCCAACCACAGACUUCGGCCUCAGAGACAAAGUGAUUGUAUGCAAUUGCCCAGCUCAGGGAUAACUAGGGGCACUCACCUGUGUCAUGGGAUGUGUUAUGGCUCUACUCACGUCCCUAGAGAGGUAGAAACCCACUCAUGCCAUGUUCUCAGUAGAGAUCAUUAAUGUAUUUUACUAUUGUGCUCCGUUUAGGCCCAAUAAGGCAAAACAGCCCCCAGACAGGAUUGAUAAAAAUCCAAGAAACCAGUGAGAGUUACUUCAGCUGAAACCUGGAAAAUACGAGGCUCACUGUUGACUGCUGCCCCUCCUUACAAAUGUGCCUGGCAUGUGAGUGCUGUUAUUUACAGGGGUUUUCAUUUUCAUGUCUUCAAAAUUCUAAGAAAAGUUGAUUGACUGAAAGAUUCAGGAUAUAAAGGCUUCGGGCUUGUGAGUUCUCCAUUAAUGACCUGUUAUACGCCAUUAAAGUAAUACUCAUAUAAAGGAAUUGAAGUGCUCUGGGUGGCUUGAUAAAAGUAAAUUAUAAAGUGAAAUCUAUGUUUUUCAUUGUCUUCCGUUCUAACCUCAGAGGUUUGUGUUUCUAGAAGAAAUGAUCAUCUCUGGCUCUAAUAAAAUUACCUAUCAGAAAUUGCCUGUAAUACAAGUCUUUCUGAUAAACCUAACAAUAAAAUUAUUCACUGUCA